rnacentral:rRNA from 1 species
GACGAACGCUGGCGGCGUGCUUAAUACAUGCAAGUCGAACGGAAAGACGCUGCUUUUGGUUUUCUGAAGUUAGGGGCGGGCGGGUGAGUAACGCGUGGAUUACCCACCUAUUAGGGUUGGGCAUAUUAGGGAAAGCGGAGUAACUGCUGGGUAAUAUUUUGAAUCGGAUGGUUGAAAAGUGAAAUACGGUCUUGAUGUGAUUUAUAGCUGGAUCCGCGCUUGAUUAGCUAGUUGGUAAGGUAACGGCUUAGCAAAGCAACGAUGCAAAGCCGAACUGAGAGGGGGAUCGGCCACACUGGAACUGAGACGCGGUCCUGACUCCUACGUGAGGCAGCAGUAGGGAAUCUUCCGCAAUGGGCGAAAGCCUGACGGAGCAACGCCGCGUGGGUGAUGAAGGUCUUCGGAUCGUAAGACUCUGUUAUUAGUGAAGAACAUAUGUGUAAGUAACUGUGCACAUCUUGACGGUACCUAGUCAGAAAGCCACGGCUAACUACGUG